CAUUGGAAGUGCCCGGGAAACUCCCUUUGUCUCCUCGCGCCCCUGGUCCGAGCCCCCCACCCCGGCUGUCCUGCCGCCCCAGAGCCCAGGAAGGAGCCGGCUGCCUGCACCGCCCCUGGGCCUCCGCUCUUUCCCUCGUACUCGCGGGGGCCGUGGCCUCGGCCCGGCCCUCCUCACCCCUCCGCGGCACAGCCGUGUGGCCCCCUCCCUGCCCCCCGCAGCGUCCGCGUCGGCGCCUCGUGGGUGCACUGCCUCCCCCUCUAGCGGGGGCCUCGAGCAGUAGCUGGCACGCGGAAGGGGCUCAGUGUGUGACCGAAUGCAAGCCGCGUAGCGAUGUGAUACGAUGGUACAGGAAUAAACGCGUGAAAAGGUGUAUGCCAGACGCAUGUUAAGAGGACUAGAGGAACCGAAAGAAAAUGGAUUUAGAAGGUAUAAUCAAAAACAUCUCCAGACAUCGCCAGCCUCCUUGGGGACCACUGCUUUGGGGAAGGCUCAGCCACUGCAAUGCAGAAAUCCUGCUUAGAAAAGGGGCUGGGAAGCGGGCUCCAGCAGGCAGCGCCUGGCCCAGCACAGUCCUAUUCCAGGAGCAGGUGAGAUUCCAAUGGCUGCCCGGCAACGUCUGACAUGACCCUGUGGGAUGGAAGUGUCAGCAAAGGAAGACGCAGCAACCAAUGAAAGGAUGUUACAGUCUCCCUGAACUUCCCUUUUUAAUGGAAAACUUCAAAUGUACAAAAGUAGAGAGAAGAAGCUGGUGAGCCCAGUGCCCAUCAGCCAGUUCCAGCAAUUGCCUAACCAUGGCCAGUUGUCUUUCACCUCCAAGUGCACAUCCCGUGUACAGGUGUGAAACUAUUAUGGACCCCAGAAGAGCCAUGAACUUUUAAUCCAGUCUUUUUGGAUGGAACCUUUUGAUUGAUUCUUUCCAUGGAGAUGUGACCCACUCAACUGUAGGUGAGACCUUUGAUUAGAUC